UACGUAGGGGCUAGCGUUGUCCGGAAUCAUUGGGCGUAAAGAGCGUGUAGGCGGCCCGGUAAGUCCGCUGUGAAAGUCAAAGGCUCAACCUUUGAAUGUCAGCGGAUACUGCCGGCUAGAGUCCGGAAGAGGCGAGUGGAAUUCCUGGUGUAGCGGUGGAAUGCGCAGAUAUCAGGAGGAACACCAACGGCGAAGGCAGCUCGCUGGACGGUACUGACGCUGAGGCGCGAAGCGUGGAGCGAACAGG
rnacentral:rRNA from 1 species